rnacentral:misc_RNA from 1 species
AAAUUAUCUACUUUUUUAAUCUUAGUUUCUGAUUUUUGUUUGAGCCUCUGACACCUCACAGCCAUAUAAUGCUGCUUUCUGCUUUCCCUGUUAUGUUUUACCCGCUAAAAUUUUAAUUUGUUGAAUACAUGCUCUUUGGAAUCUUAUGACUAUUUUUUAUUUUAUUUACCCAUGUAUCAAGCUUUAGUUUAUUUUCUGUUAUAUUUAGUCCAGUUUUAGCUACUUCUUCCUCAUCGCUUGACUGUGAG